rnacentral:rRNA from 1 species
CGUUGAUCCUGCGGGAGAUUGCUGCUAUUUAGAUCCGUUAACCAUGCAAGUCAUCUAGCAACAGAGGCAGAAUGCGCAUUAACACGUCGAUAAUCUAACCUAAGGUCGGGGAUAACCUCGGGAAACUGAGGGUAAACCCCGAUAGGGGAGGUUUUAUGGAAAAAUCCUCCUUCAAGCUCGGGCCUUAGGAUGAGUCGGCGGCAGAUUAGGCUGUUGGUGGGGUAAUGGCCCACCAAACCUAUGAUCUGUAUGGGCUCUGAGAGGAGUUGCCCAGCGAAGGACACUGAGGAACUGGUCCUAGCCCUACGGGGUGCAGCAGGUACGAAUUUUCUACAAUACACGAAAGUGUGAUAGGGGGAUCUAAAGUGCUCAUGCAUUAGCAUGGGCUUUUGCCAAGCGUAAAUAACUUGGAGAAUAAGUGGUGGGUAAGACAGGUGCCAGCAGCCGCGGUAACACCUGCGCCACAAGUGGCAAUCAGCAUUAUUUGGUCUAAGGCGUCCGUAGCCGGUUUGGUAAAUCUUUUGUGAAAUCGUUCAGCUCAACUGAACGGCGUGCAAAAGAGACUGCUUUACUAGGGACCAGGAAGGGUAAGAGGUAUUCCAUGGGUAGCGGUAGAAUGCGAUAAUCCUUGGAGGACCACCGAUGGCGAAGGCAUCUUACUAGAAUGGGUCCGACGGUGAGGGACGAAAGCCAGGGGAGCAAAACGGAUUAGAUACCCGAGUAGUCCUGGCUGUAAACUCUGCGAGCUAGGUGUUGCAUCUUCCACGAGGAGAUGCAGUAUCGUAGCGAAGGCGUUAAGCUCGCCACCUGGGAAGUACGGUCGCAAGGCUGAAACUUGAAGGAAUUGGCGGGGGAGCGCUACAAGGGGUGCGGCGUGCGGUUUAAUCUAAAUCAACGCACAGAAUCUCACUAGCGGCGACGGCACAAUGAAGGUCAGUCUGAAGGGCUUACCUAAGGAGCCGAGAGGUGGUGCAUAGCCGGCGUCAGUUCGUGCCGUGAGGUGUCCUCUUAAGUGAGGCAACGAACGAGACCUGCGCCUACAAUUGCCAGCAGCUGAAUUUCAGGACUGGGCACAUUGUAGGGACUGCCCUGGAAACAGGGAGGAAGGUGCAGGCAACGCCAGGUCUGUAUGCCCCGAAUCUGCUAGGCUACACGCGCGCAACAAUGGUAGAGACAAUGGGAUGCCACUCCGAAAGGAGAAGCUAAUCCUCUAAACUCUAUCCCAGUAUAGAUCGUGGAUUGUAACUCAUCCACGUGACAACGGAAUCCCUAGUAAUCAGAUGUUAGCAUCGUCUGGUGAACAUGUCCCCGCUCCUUGCACACACCGCCCGUCAAAUCAACCGAAUCGGGUCUUAGUGAGGGUUUGCUUUUUUAACAAAUUCGAACUGAGGUUUGGUAAGGUGGGUUAAGUCGUCACAAGGUA